AAGUCUGCGAAGGUGUAUCGAGAGGUAUGCUGGAGAUAUCAGAAGUGCGAAUGCUGACGUAAGUAACGAUAAAGGGGGUGAAAAGCCUCCUCGCCGGAAGACCAAGGGUUCCUGUCCAACGUUAAUCGGGGCAGGGUGAGUCGACCCCUAAGGCGAGGCCGAAAGGCGUAGUCGAUGGGAAGCAGGUUAAUAUUCCUGCACGACUUGUAAUUGCGAUGGGGGGACGGAGAAGGCUAGGUGGGCCAGGCGACGGUUGUCCUGGUGAAAGUGCGUAGGUGGUGUUUCUAGGCAAAUCCGGAGACACAACACUGAGACACGAGACGAACACACUACGGUGUGGAAGCCAUUGAUGCCCUGCUUCCAGGAAAAGCCUCUAAGCUUCAGAUUACAAGUCAUCGUACCCCAAACCGACACAGGUGGUCGGGUAGAGAAUACCAAGGCGCUUGAGAGAACUCGGGUGAAGGAACUAGGCAAAAUAGAACCGUAACUUCGGGAGAAGGUUCGCUCUUGAUGGUGAAGUCCCUUGCGGAUGGAGCUGUCGGGAGUCGCAGUGACCAGAUGGCUGGGACUGUUUAUCAAAAACACAGCACUCUGCAAACACGAAAGUGGACGUAUAGGGUGUGACACCUGCCCGGUGCCGGAAGGUUAAUUGAUGGGGUUAGCGCAAGCGAAGCUCUUGAUCGAAGCCCCGGUAAACGGCGGCCGUAACUAUAACGGUCCUAAGGUAGCGAAAUUCCUUGUCGGGUAAGUUCCGACCUGCACGAAUGGUGUAACCAUGGCCAUGCUGUCUCCACCCGAGACUCAGUGAAAUCGAAUUCGCCGUGAAGAUGCGGUGUACCCGCGGCUAGACGGAAAGACCCCGUGAACCUUUACUACAGCUUGGCACUGAACAUUGAACCUACAUGUGUAGGAUAGGUGGGAGGCUUUGAAGGCGUGACGCCAGUUGCGCUGGAGCCGUCCUUGAAAUACCACCCUUGUAUGUUUGAUGUUCUAACGCAGGGCCCUGAAUCGGGCUCGCGGACAGUGCCUGGUGGGUAGUUUGACUGGGGCGGUCUCCUCCCAAAGAGUAACGGAGGAGCACGAAGGUUGGCUAAUCCUGGUCGGACAUCAGGAGGUUAGUGCAAUGGCAUAAGCCAGCUUAACUGCGAGACGGACAGGUCGAGCAGGUACGAAAGUAGGUCAUAGUGAUCCGGUGGUUCUGAAUGGAAGGGCCAUCGCUCAACGGAUAAAAGGUACUCCGGGGAUAACAGGCUGAUACCGCCCAAGAGUUCAUAUCGACGGCGGUGUUUGGCACCUCGAUGUCGGCUCAUCACAUCCUGGGGCUGAAGUCGGUCCCAAGGGUAUGGCUGUUCGCCAUUUAAAGUGGUACGCGAGCUGGGUUCAGAACGUCGUGAGACAGUUCGGUCCCUAUCUGCCGUGGGCGUUGGAUGAUUGAAGGGAGUUGCUCCUAGUACGAGAGGACCGGAGUGAACGAACCUCUGGUGUUCGGGUUGUCACGCCAGUGGCACUGCCCGGUAGCUAAGUUCGGAAUCGAUAACCGCUGAAAGCAUCUAAGCGGGAAGCGAGCCCUGAGAUGAGUCAUCCCUGACCCCUUGAGGGUCCUAAAGGGCCGUU
rnacentral:rRNA from 1 species